UGGGGAAUAUUGGACAAUGGGCGAAAGCCUGAUCCAGCCAUGCCGCGUGUGUGAAGAAGGUCUUCGGAUUGUAAAGCACUUUAAGUUGGGAGGAAGGGCAGUAAGUUAAUACCUUGCUGUUUUGACGUUACCGACAGAAUAAGCACCGGCUAACUCUGUGCCAGCAGCCGCGGUAAUACAGAGGGUGCAAGAGUUAAUCGGAAUUACUGGGCGUAAAGCGCGCGUAGGUGGUUUGUUAAGUUGGAUGUGAAAGCCCCGGGCUCAACCUGGGAACUGCAUCCAAAACUGGCAGGCUAGAGUACGGUAGAGGGUGGUGGAAUUUCCUGUGUAGCGGUGAAAUGCGUAGAUAUAGGAAGGAACACCAGUGGCGAAGGCGACCACCUGGACUGAUACUGACACUGAGGUGCGAAAGCGUGGGGAGCAAACA
rnacentral:rRNA from 1 species